AGGAUUUUUUCCCAAGCCGGGAGAGCUGGCAGAUCAGAGAGGGACUUUCCAGACAAAUCCCAUCUGGGGAAACGUACUAUCUUCCAGAAGCAAUUUUUGUAAAAAUGCAAAUGCUCUUUUAUAGAGCUCGGCCUUCCCUCCUUUAAGAAAGGGCUUGCCGAUUCAAACCUGCCCGACUCUUAGCUGGAUUAAGUUGGGCAAGGGAGAUUUGCCGUCAGUCUGCAACCUGGUGGCAGAUUGAGAUGGAACCAAGAUUUACCCUGGAAGUAGGAUAUUAGUCAAUGGCUGUCACUGGGUACAAUGUCCAGAACGAUGCAAACAGACACGGAUGGUUGAUUCUUCUUCAAGGAAAUGGCUGGCCACGCCCUUGAUUUGGGAGAAACUAAACUGGCCUUCUCGUUCCCAAUCCCAGAACCUCCACCCCUUUCGAAUUCUUCCCAACCGGCUGACCCUGCCCGGCGCCCAGGAGCGGCCUGGGUAUCUCCUGGCUGCUCUCCCGAAUCCUUGCGCGCCGCGCCCCUACCAGGUUCACUGGGUGCACGUAGCCGUUCUCAUAGCGGUCCUCCUGCAACAGCUGCCGCAGUCUCGCUGUCUCCGCCUUCCGCUCCCUGGCGGAGGCGGAGGCCAGAGAGCGCUCCGAGGAAGACUAAAAACCCAGGCCAGGAAGCGCGGGGUGAGAAAGUGAGGUGGGCGGCGAGAGCGUGAGCGCCCCUUCGCUGACCCUGGGGAGCGUGGACUAUAAGUUGGCGCCCAAGUCCAGAAUCCGCGCGCACCGCCGAAAAUAUUUGCAGUACCUGCCACAUCCAAGGUUCAGUUGAGGCCAAUGUAAAGCCAGUAUUCUAGGACACUUCUCAGACUGAGAGCCCAAUGUCAUUGGGGACAACUGGGCCACAGGAAAUGCAGGCUCUCUCGGUCCUGCUCCUGCCAUGGAAGAAGCCCGCUCCCACCAUGCCUUCCGCCACAAGUAAAAGUUCCCUGAGGCCUCUCCAGAAGCAGACCCUGUCGUGCUUCCCGUAUAGCUGCAGAACUACUUCAAAUCCUCCCAACACCAGAGAACACUACAUGACAGUGGACAGGAAGACAGUGUACCUUUUGCUCCUGAUGAUCGUAAGAACCACCUCCUUCCUCUUAUUGUGAAGUGCAAGGUGCAAAAAGGAGGCCUGCUGCUUGUUCAGGACUAUGUCAGCAUUGUGGCUCAGAAGAAGCGCAACGGCUUUGGCGUGGCCUUCCCUCGCAGCAAAGUGAAGUGCAGUGUUCUUUUGAAGAAAAACAGACACAGAAAAUGUGGUGACAGUGUCUAAUCUGUCUUAUUUCACUGCUUAACUGCUUAAAAGACAUUAGCAACACUAUUUAAUACCAAAAUACAUAGCAUUUAAAACAGGUGUUCAGAAUCAAGCUUCAAAAUAAUGAGUUUAUAGUUCAAGCAUGCUGUGUGUGCAUGUGUGGGAAGUGGAUCUGUGUGUGUGUGUGUGUGUGUGAUAGAUAGAGAGAGAGAGAGAAUG
rnacentral:antisense_RNA from 1 species